CUCAGCGCCUGGACAUCUGUUAUCACCCUGUCUGAUAUUUGCACUUGACUGGGAGGAAGUGAAAGAAAUCAGUUUGCCCCGACCUUCCAUAAACGUGCUGACCUGAGGAUGCUACAAACAGGCCUUUGGACCCAGACUGAAUCAUUCCACCAGCUUUCCUGCUUCUCCACCUUGCAGACAGGAGAUUUCGGGACUUCUCGUCUUCCAUAACCACGUGAGUCAA